UUGGGAUAACCCUCGGAAACGGGGGCUAAUACCGAAUACGACCUUCUGCCGCAUGGUGGGGGGUGGAAAGUUUUUCGGCCUGGGAUGGGCUCGCGGCCUAUCAGCUUGUUGGUGGGGUGAUGGCCUACCAAGGCGACGACGGGUAGCCGGCCUGAGAGGGCGACCGGCCACACUGGGACUGAGACACGGCCCAGACUCCUACGGGAGGCAGCAGUGGGGAAUAUUGCACAAUGGGCGGAAGCCUGAUGCAGCGACGCCGCGUGAGGGAUGACGGCCUUCGGGUUGUAAACCUCUUUCAGCAGGGACGAAGCGCAAGUGACGGUACCUGCAGAAGAAGCGCCGGCCAACUACGUGCCAGCAGCCGCGGUAAGACGUAGGGCGCGAGCGUUGUCCGGAUUUAUUGGGCGUAAAGAGCUCGUAGGCGGCUUGUCGCGUCGACCGUGAAAACUUGGGGCUCAACCCCAAGCCUGCGGUCGAUACGGGCAGGCUAGAGUUCGGUAGGGGAGACUGGAAUUCCUGGUGUAGCGGUGAAAUGCGCAGAUAUCAGGAGGAACACCGGUGGCGAAGGCGGGUCUCUGGGCCGAUACUGACGCUGAGGAGCGAAAGCGUGGGGAGCGAACAGGAUUAGAUACCCUGGUAGUCCACGCUGUAAACGUUGGGCGCUAGGUGUGGGGGGCCUCUCCGGUUCUCUGUGCCGCAGCUAACGCAUUAAGCGCCCCGCCUGGGGAGUACGGCCGCAAGGCUAAAACUC
rnacentral:rRNA from 1 species